rnacentral:rRNA from 1 species
CCUCGGCGUAAAGGGUGGUUAGAUUAAACCUACACUAAAGCUGAACCGCCUCCCUGCCGUUAUACGCUUUCGAGAGUGGGAACCUCAAUUACGAAAGUAGCUUUAUUUGUAUUGACACCACGAAAGCUGUGGCACAAACUGGGAUUAGAUACCCCACUAUGCAUAGCUGUAAACUUUGGUAGGCCUCUACAAUGCCUGCCCGCCUGGGAACUACGAGCACCAGCUUAAAACCCAAAGGACUUGGCGGUGCUUUAGACCCCCCUAGAGGAGCCUGUUCUGGAACCGAUACCCCCCGUUAAACCUCACCCUCUCUUGUUCAUUCCGCCUAUAUACCGCCGUCGUCAUCUUACCCUGUGAAGGUCUUACAUUAAGCAGUUAUGGUA